rnacentral:rRNA from 1 species
GACGAACGCUGGCGGCGUGCUUAACACAUGCAAGUCGAACGGAAAGGCCCUGCUUUUGUGGGGUGCUCGAGUGGCGAACGGGUGAGUAACACGUGAGUAACCUGCCCUUGACUGUGGGAGAACUUCAGGAAACUGGGGCUAAUACCGGAGAGGAGCUCCUGCUGCAUGGGGGGGGUUGGAAAGUGUCGGCGGUUGGGGAUGGACUCGCGGCUUAUCAGCUUGUUGGUGGGGUAGUGGCUUACCAAGGCUUUGACGGGUAGCCGGCCUGAGAGGGUGACCGGCCACCUUGGGACUGCGAUACGGCCCAGAAUCCUACGGGAGGCAGCAGUGGGGAAUAUUGCACAAUGGGCGGAAGCCUGAUGCAGCAACGCCGCGUGCGGGAUGACGGCCUUCGGGUUGUAAACCGCUUUCGCCUGUGACGAAGCGUGAGUGACGGUAAUGGGUAAAGAAGCACCGGCUAACUACGUG